ACUAAAAGACUAAAACUAAAUGCCCUAAAUCCUAAUUGAGUAAUCCGCCGCCAACCCCUCGUCCAACUCUCCUCUCCCUCUAAUCCUAAAUCCCUCCACCAACUCCAUCGUCCUCCGUCGCCGGUCGCCGUCGCCCCUCGCCCUGUCGCCCCUCCCCAGCUCCUGUCGGCCCUCGCCACCUGCAGUUCGUCCAAGGGUACGAGCUAGACGAGGCAAAGCAACAGAUCCACACAGUAUCGCUGAGAGGAUUUCAGAUUUUAUAAGUAAAAGGCAGACAGUUUUUCUCCACUCUACAACAUAGAUUAUUCAGCAUCAAGUUGUAAUAUGUUGUGUGAUGAAAAUGAAGCGGUUGGAGAUACCAUCGAAAAUAAUGCAACUGAAGAUACUCCAUCUGAGGAUCCUCAUGACAAAGGAGAGGCAAAAAUAUCAUGUACUCUCCCAAUUUGCCCGUGAUAUUCUAGCAGUUCCCAUCUCCACUGUAGCAUCUGAGUCCGCUUUUAGCACUGGUGGCCGAGUUCUUGAUCCAUUUAGGAGCUCUUUAAGUCCUAAAGUUGUCGAGUAUCUUGUUUGUGGUCAAAAUUGGCUUCGCAAAUCUUCCAAAUUUAGUGUUGAAGAAAUUCUUGAAGAUGUCCAAAAGAUAGAAGAAGGUGGUUUUAUACAUUUAAAUUUUUUGUUAUUGAUUAUUUCAUUUAAAGUACUUAUAUAACUCUUUUUUGUGUGGUAUUGCAUUGAUGUUUACUCAAGAUUCAACAAAUUAAUCAAUCUCCAUUAUUUGUUGAAACUUGCUUGCACUUGGACAAUAUUGAAGACUUGUCAUGGAACUUCAUUUUGGAUUUAUUUUGAUGUAAUGUGUUGAAACUAUUGAAGACAUUUUGGUUGAUGUUUUUUAUUGUGGAAUGUUGAUUGUAUAUUUGUAUUUGUUGGUUGAUGCAUUUGAUGGAUUAGGGAUAUUAUCAUUUUUAUCA